rnacentral:rRNA from 1 species
UACGAAGGUCCCGAGCGUUAUCCGGAUUUAUUGGGUUUAAAGGGUGCGUAGGCGGGUUAUUAAGUCAGUGGUGAAAGCCUACAGCUUAACUGUAGAAUUGCCAUUGAUACUGAUGAUCUUGAGUAUGAUUGAGGUGGGCGGAAUGUGUCAUGUAGCGGUGAAAUGCUUAGAUAUGACACAGAACACCGAUUGCGAAGGCAGCUCACUAAGUCACAACUGACGCUGAUGCACGAAAGCGUGGGGAGCAAACAGG